CACGUAGGGUGCAAGCGUUGUCCGGAUUCAUUGGGCGUAAAGGGCUAGUAGGCGGCUUAGCAAGUCGGGUGUGAAAACUUCAGGCUCAACCUGGAGCGGCCAUCCGAUACUGCUAUGGCUAGAGUCCGGUAGGGGACCACGGAAUUCCUGGUGUAGCGGUGAAAUGCGCAGAUAUCAGGAAGAACACCCGUGGCGAAAGCGGCUCUCUGGAACGGUACUGACGCUGAGACGCGAAAGCGUGGGGAGCGAACAGG
rnacentral:rRNA from 1 species